AUUGAACGCUGGCGGCAUGCUUUACACAUGCAAGUCGAACGGUAACAGGCUAGCUGACGAGUGGCGAACGGGUGAGUAAUGCAUCGGAACGUGCCCAGUUGUGGGGGAUAACGUAGCGAAAGCUACGCUAAUACCGCAUACGACCUGAGGGUGAAAGGGGGGGAUCGCAAGACCUCUCGCAAUUGGAGCGGCCGAUGUCAGAUUAGCUAGUUGGUGGGGUAAAAGCCUACCAAGGCGACGAUCUGUAGCUGGUCUGAGAGGACGACCAGCCACACUGGGACUGAGACACGGCCCAGACUCCUACGGGAGGCAGCAGUGGGGAAUUUUGGACAAUGGACGCAAGUCUGAUCCAGCCAUGCCGCGUGCAGGAAGAAGGCCUUCGGGUUGUAAACUGCUUUUGUCAGGGAAGAAAUCCCUUGGGAUAAUUCCUCGGGGGGAUGACGGUACCUGAAGAAUAAGCACCGGCUAACUACGUGCCAGCCGCCGCAGUAUAC
rnacentral:rRNA from 1 species